rnacentral:lncRNA from 1 species
UGUAAGAAAUAACAUUUCAAGUGAUUGAAAGCAGUUGGAAAAGGGUUGUGUUUGUGCACUAUAUAAGAAGGGAAAUCUGAUGAUAAGCAGGCAUUCUGGCAUGUCUGUUUGCAGCUAGUGCUUUAACAAUUCAACUGCACUCCCAAUUUAUUGAAUCUUUACUAGUUCAGUAACUUGAUGGUGUAAAAUGGCCAUACAAUCAACUCGAUUUUAAUCCUUACAAUUUCUGUACUUUUGGAAUAAUGCAGACACAGCACAAGAUUGAAAUGGAUAAAAGAGAUGGUAAGUUUGGGCAACAGCCAGUUAUGGCCGUGCCUCAGGUGCAGCAAAUGUCACGCAUUGAUCAGCCAAUUCCUCCACCCAUAGGCUAUCCACCUCAACCAGCAUAUGGUCAACCUCCACCCCCUUAUGCUCAAGGUUAUCCUCCUGCUGGGUACCCUCCACCUCAAUAUCCUCCACCUGGCGCUUAUCCUCCUUCUGGCUACCCCAAGUGAACUGGACUCUUCCAGUGAAGAGAAAGUAAUGUUGCAUGUGAAGUUCAAAAGACGCUCAGAUUAUUUC